CGAAUCAAGCAAACAUAAACCUUCCAAAAGCCUUUCAAUGGAAUUUGUCGGUUUGGAUUAAUCCAUUUUAGUUUGAUAGUUUGAUUUUUGUGGUUUUCGAUUUUGUAAACAAUUUUGCCAUCCAAUGCUUCUCUUUCUUCUUCCACUUGCCUCCCCUCCAACAAUACUGUUUCAAUUUUCUUCUUCCUUCUUUCUUUCUGUGGUGAUAUGAACGCUGCCCAAAUUGCAAAAUUUUUAUAUUAUAUGAAGCCCACUUGCAGACUUGCUGUUGACUUCCAUUUACAUUCAAUCUUGGCGUGAGGAGUAAUUGCUCCGUGCAGAGGAAUCAGAUUCCCUUUACAUUCUUAUAUCAGCCCAUUCAAAAGAUGGUUGUGUCGUAUAAUCCGGCUACCAUCUUCACCUACUCGGAGCUUGAUCUUGAACCACCCAUUGUUUUGAUUUUGAGGCAAAGAACAGCCCCAUGGGAGAAGGAGAUUGCGACUUUGGAGAGAAUAAACUGGUGGAGGAAGGAUCGGAAGUUGCUGGUGAUGAAGCGGUAGUUGAUGAACACCUAGUGUUUGAUGAUGUGCCUGUUGGAGUUCGACAAUUUUAUUUUGUCAAAGUUAAGGCACUUGAAAACUCAAACACAGAUGCCAUGAUCAAGGCUGAAGAAACGAUUUCAAAGAUGAACCAAGACCAAAUUUUAAUAGCCCAGAAGAUAAGGGACAGAAGGGUGUGUGGAGAAGAAUUAUACUCUUUCAGUUGUUUCUAAUUCAAAUAGUGAAAAGAUCAUAACAUUCUAAUGAACUCUCCCGGUAUGGCGCUGGAUCAUGAAUCAUAUGGACCGUGAUCAGGUGAUUGCCAAGUUGAAUGACCAGCAGUACUAUGAAUCUUGGGAUGAUUUCAUCCUACUGUGCAACAGAAACAAAAUGAAUAUACUCCAUUUUUCAUUAGAGAAAAUGACUUAUGUAAAUAAGGCACAUAAAGGGAAACCAAAUAUUUCGUGCUUAUCAGGAGGGAAAGUCGAUAAGCAAGAAUUAUCUUUCUUGAUGCGACAUGGGUGUAAAAACAUGGCUGAUGAGAGAAAGCUAUUAAAGGAAGUUAAAGCAAGACAAGAGAACGAUGGUGGCUCGACAGUAGAUGAAGUCGAUUCUUCUCUUGAAUCAUUGUUUGGGAAUCUGUGGCUUAAACCACUGGGUUUUCAAAUCACUCAUGCAAUUAAGAAGAUCGAAGGUAUUGAUGAUGAUCCAGUCGAGGGAGAGUUGUGGUCCUCCUCGCGUAUAAAAAAUGUCAUUCAAGAAGAAUUGCAAGAACUCACGACUCUUCAGAUUAUAUAAGGAGAAGACAGGCAAGAUUUCGGUCCAAAGCUAAGAAGACAACGAAAGAACUAGAGAAGGUAGAAAAGGAUAUAAGCUCUCUACAGAAACGCUUUAUCUAUACCAAUCGCAGAAAGGCUGAGGCGUACGAUACCAUUCUUAAAUUGAAAAAACAAUAUGGAGAAGAGAAUGCUUCCCACUACCAAUAUUGUUCCCUCAUGAAGAAAGUUGAAGUACUAGCUAAAAAGAAAGACAUUGCAGCACUUGAAGAAUUAUCUCAAGGACAGGUUGACAAGUUUAUGCAACAGUGGAAUAAUUGCCUGGAGUUUAGAAACGAUUACAGACGAAGAGUCGUCCCAUCUCUAUAUAGUCGAGACCUUUGCCUCGAUGGGAGGAUGAUUACUAAACAAAAAUCAUCAUUAGUUGAGGAUACUUGAAAAGUUAUCGUACCGGAAGUGCUCUCGAAAGCUAGAUUGAAAUGGUUGAUGAAAGAUGCUGAAGAUCCCUUUGAACUUCUUUUCUAACAGAGCUAAAAUGCAAUAUAAUAAAUGUUUGUUCUCAUACAUUCUUCAUAGAUUCUUUGAACUUGUCUUGGAACGUAACGCGAUAAUCAUAUAUUCUAAGUUUGAUGCAAACUAAACUCUUGUUUAGAAUCAAUCAUUAGUUGUGAGUUAUUUACCCUCUAGCUUCAAAAAAAUCUACCUUGUAAACAAAUUUCAUUCAAA